rnacentral:rRNA from 1 species
ACGGAAGGCAGCAGUGAGGAAUAUUGGUCAAUGGGCGGAAGCCUGAACCAGCCAAGUCGCGUGAAGGAUGACGGUCUUAUGGAUUGUAAACUUCUUUAGCCAGGGAGCAAUAAGCGCUAUGUAUAGCGUGAUGAGAGUACCUGGAGAAUAAGCAUCGGCUAACUCCGUGCCAGCAGCCGCGGUAAUACGGAGGAUGCGAGCGUUAUCCGGAUUUAUUGGGUUUAAAGGGUGCGCAGGCGGUCGAUUAAGUCAGUGGUCAAAUCGUGAGGCUCAACCUCAUCCCGCCAUUGAUACUGGUUGACUUGAUUUCGGUCGAGGCAGGCGGAAUUCGCCGUGUAGCGGUGAAAUGCAUAGAUAUGGCGAAGAACUCCGAUUGCGUAGGCAGCUUACCAGACCGACAAUGACGCUCAUGCACGAAAGUGCGGGGAUCGAACAGGAUUAGAUACCCUGGUA